GACGAACGCUGGCGGCGUGCUUAACACAUGCAAGUCGAACGGCAAGGCCCUGCUUUUGUGGUGUGCUCGAGUGGCGAACGGGUGAGUAACACGUGUGUAACCUGCUCUUGACUUUGGGAUAACUUCAGGAAACUGGGGCUAAUACCGGAUAGCAGCUCCUGCUGCAUGGUGGGGGUUGGAAAGUUUCGGCGGUCGGGGAUGGACUCGCGGCUUAUCAGCUUGUUGGUGGGGUAGUGGCUUACCCAGGCUUUGACGGGUAGCCGGCCUGAGAGGGUGACCGGCGACAUUGGGACUGAGGGACGGCCCAGACUCCUACGGGAGGCAGCAGGGGGGAAUAUUGCACAGUGGGCGGAAGCCUGAUGCAGCAGCGCCGCGGGCGUGAUGACGGCCUGCUGGGUGAAAACCGCUUUCGCCUGUGACGAAGCGGUAGUGACGGUAAUGGGUAAAGAAGCACCGGCUAACUACGUG
rnacentral:rRNA from 1 species